CCCACCCUCAGCAGGUGCUCUCCGCAUUUCUCUCCGCCGGCGAUCGCCGGCGAAGAGAUCUUUCGGUGGCCCUCCGGCGGGCCCCGGAGGCUGAAGAACGGGGGAUUCCUUCUUCCAAAUGUGGCCGGAGAUCGGUGGAGGAGAGGGAAUUUGAGGUAGUUUCCCCCUAGAGGAGCAGAGGUGCUUCUGCUGGUGGUUGUCCCCCUUCCAACGGCGAAGCUCACCUGUCCUCCACCGCCGCCGCUGGUGUGUGGAGCCGGGGAGGGACAGGACGGGCCGUCGGUUACUGCCCCUGUCAGGUGGGAUAUUGUUAACAUGAAAUACGGCCUUCUUAAAGUCAUCGCUUUACAUUGAAUUGGCCACUGUCCGCCAGAUUGGAUGUGAGUAAGCCAAUCUUCCUCUCUUUGAAAGAAGAGAUGCUUCCAUUUCUGCUUGUGUUUCUGUCAAUUUUUUUCUUCUCCAUAUUUUCCUAUCAUUUGGAUUAAUAAUUUUUUGUGAGGAACUGCUUAACUACUGAUGACGCUGAUUUCCUGACUUGAAUGCGGAACUUAGGAAUCCAGUGUGUGUUGUCUUGUUGUCAACAGGAAGUUUCAAUCCUCCUACUUAUAUGCACUUGCGAAUGUUUAGUACGUUCAAAUGUAUUAUUUAUAUUUUUUGUCUAUUACAAAAUUGCCUGAUUAUGAGGAACACAUUGACGGGGUGAGAUAGAUAUGUACCGCUUAAGUUGGACAACAUGAGAUACAUUCUCAAGAAAACUUCACGUGCGGUGCAUUGUUGCGUGUCGUGCUGUAUGAUGUCCUUUUCAGUGGUUGGAUAGUUAGAGCCGAAAAGAGGUUUACGAUUCUCCAGCUAGUUGAGAUUCCUGGGGGAGGUGGAGGUGGGUCCAUUGCAUUCUUGAAAGAGCGAACAAGGUCUAGAAGUCUUGUUGUACCAUUCGGGAAGACUGCUUGAAAUUAAAGCUUCUCCAGAGAUGUCUGAAGGAAAGUUUCCUGCAUCAUGUCCAUUUGAAUAAUUCCACUCAUGUUUCUGCAGUUGUGAUAGUGAUCUGCAUGUUCCCAUCAGUUAAUGUAUUGUAAAGUGUAGUUAUGUCUGGGCGCUUAGUAAGUUUCUUCUAAUCAUUGAUAAGUCGCUGUUGUAAAUUUGUGAUACAACUGGAUUUUAUACUUGUUGGAGUUUCUUUAAUGAAAAAAUAACUGACAUUGAUUCAAAUUAUUAGCGUGGAUGCUCUGCAGUUUUUUUCACCAUGUUGUAGAUCGAACUAGAUUCGGUGCUGGAAAGGCCAGCCUUGUGCUCGUGGAGAAAACUCCAAGUUCAAACAGAAAGGACCUUUUCUCUCCUUCAAAGAAUUGUUUACGAUGUGGUGGGGGUUGGUUUGAUAUUUAUACCAGACCAUGGAAGGUUCCAGACACACAGGAAUAGGAGGCUGUGUCAACAUGACACAUGAGAAAGUGUAAGAAGAAAAAAAGGGUCUUCAGAAUGUGUUCACAGAGUCAUAAUUGUAUAGACACGUUCCUCAACAUAUAUCCGUGAUUUUCAGAACAUAACCAGCUAUCCUUGGGAUUAUGUCCAGUCAGCACACCCAUAUAUUGGUCACUCAAUUUAAAAAAGGUGAUGUUCAAUAUCAUGGCUGAGAAGAUAGAAAUGUUCUGACAAACAUAGCCAUUAUUACUAGAGAAUAGUAAUAAGUAAUAGCACAUAAUAGGGACCUUCACAACUUGAAGGUGCUUGCUGUGUUGCUUAUAACAGUGACCUUUCUUUAUUGAUUUUUAUGCCUGUUUAUCAUCUCAUUGCAGGAAACACUAGUCUAUUAAACAGCGUUUCAAAUUGAGACCUCAUCUUAAAAUUCAUGGCAGCUCCGUAUAUAAUAGUUAUAUAUAUUUAACUUUGCCAACUAAUUAAUGGCAACUUGUUUUCAUGUGCUUAUUGCAGAUGAUCAAAUCUAUUAGAAAACUUCCAUAGACGCAUUCGAUAUUUAUCGGUUCAUUCAUCUUUCCUUCAAGACUGGAAAUAAAUAGUUGUCAUUUUCAAGACUGAAAAUAUUCUUGAUAAUAUUUUGACGACAACUUUAUGACUGAAGGCAGAAAAGAACUAGGUACAUUCCUAAGAAAAAGUACAUGUCAAAGAAAAAGUGAGACCUUUCAUUUAAUUUAAUUCGUUCCAAUGCUGUAUUGGUCAGUUGCUGGUAUCUUGUGUCUUCUUGGCAUUCACUUCUCCCAUGUUAGUUUAUGUGUAAAUUAUAGAUAUCGAUUUUAUUUCUUACUUAUACAAUUUUAACAAAAGUUCCAAGUGAUUGUCCCUUUAAAGGUAAAACGAUUGUUGCUUCUGGACUGUUCAAAUAAAAUGGCAGUGAUCGUUUAGAUACGAAUAUAAGUGAAACAAACAAAGAUAUACUGAUCAGUUAUUUGUAUUUUUGUGCAGUGCAUGGUUAAGAUAACUUUUUGACAGAAUAGGGCCUUUUAAAAUUUAAUCAAAUAAACUAGCUUCCACAAAAGGCACUUUUUUGUGUAGUUAAAAGGGUACGAAGCCUACAAGCAUAGACCAAAUGCUCCUACUGCUCAAUUUAUGUUUCUAAGCUAAAAGGCAGUCACCUUUUCAUAAACUGUUAUAAUUAUAACAUAUUAAAGGGAAUGAAAUUCAUUAUUGUUUGGCCAUUGGCAGGCUCCACUGAUAAAGACUUGUGCUAAGUUUAGUUCUUUUUUUUCUUGUUUUCACUAGAAUUGGCAAGGGAUGCUCUAAAUUCAAAUGGGUGUUUUGCUGUUGGAGCCUACAUGUCUCCUGUGAAUGACUCAUACAAAAGGAAGGUACUCAUUCAUGUAAUAUUUAAUGAAUAUGCAUACAUGAAACAUUCAAAAAGCCUUAUACAUGGAUUUGGCUGAUAAAUAUAUUUUCUAUCCAUGUUUUCCAUGCUUAAGACGUGCAACAUCCAUUAUCCCAUGGGCAGUAAAGAUCCGUUCAACAUCCAUGUGCACAUGGCAUCAUAUUGCGAUUGCCUCGUUGUAGUUAAUGCCUUUAAGCUUUCUUGUAGCUAGAUAGAUCAUGAACUUCUGGUGUCCUAUUACUGCCUUAUAAUUACACUGUCAAAGAAUAAGGCUGGCCAAGUCAAAAUAGACUACUAUGAGCACAAGGACUGAAGUCCCCAAUUAUCUGUCAGGCCCAUAUCAACUAACGUCUACACUUAAUUCAAAUCUCUAAAACUAUCUUAUAUUCAUAAUUUUUUCAUGUUCACCACUUGAUUGGCCUAUAUAAUUUACUGCAUGAUUUUGUUUGUCCUAGUCGAAAGGAUAAAAGAAAAUUAUCACAUCAUGUAGGUUUUUGAUGUAAACUGGGAAAGAGAGAAAAUUGUAUUACAUCUGUAGUUUUUAUUUUUUGUAUUCGAAAGAGUUUUGGGUCAUAAUCUUUGAUAUUUCGAUUUUUUUUGGUAACUCUUAUUCCUUCUCAUUAGAGUUUUGCAAGUUCAUUUUCAUUUCUUAGGUGGUAUUCCCUCUCAGACCUUUUCUUUUUUCUGAACCUCCACAAUAUGUGUGCAUAUGGCCAUAAAGCCUUUGUUUUCAAGCCUAACUUUAUUUUAAAUCAAAUUAUCAAAAUUGGAAAUUUUGGAGUAUCUUCAUGUUGAUAACAUGAGGUAAGACUGUGUUUUGAGAGGUGUUGAAGUUCAGCUCUCAAAAUGUAUCAUUGUGUUGAAAACGAAAAUACCUUUGGAAGGACCUGUUGGGGCCUAGAAGAGAGAAAUCAUCUUCUUGGGGCCAUUGAGUUUUCCGUUGUUAAUUUGAGUUUAUGGUACACUUAUACGGAGAGCCUCCUGUAAGAGGAUAUAUGAUAGAACGCCCCUGUAGUUAUUUUUUUCUACACUUCCGACAGUUAGGAACUUGGAGCUGAGCCACAAUUGAAAAGCAGUAGUAGGAGCGAUGACGGGCUGAGUGGAUAAUUUUUUAAACUUGAAGUUCAAAUUUUGUCACGAAAGCAUGAAAAAGAACUUGGCGUGCCAUUUUAGUCAUGAAAGCAUAUAACAGCUGGGAGAUGCAGUAUUUUAACCAUUUUGUAAAACAAUGUGAUUAAACCACAGAUGGCAGAGGCAGUUUCGAUUGUAAGAACACUGAAAAAGAUGAUCCAUUAUUGUUCUUCUAUGAAUGGAGAAAGGCCUACUCAAAUAAUCCAAUCAAAUCGCCAAAAAAGCUGCUCAAUUAGCCAAAGGAAAUUACCAAGAAACUGUGAUGAUAUCAUAAAGCUUACCUACUCAAUCUAGUCAAAUGAAUGAGCUUGAUUAAGACUAUAUAUUAGAUCUUUUUAAGACCGUCUACUACUGGCGAAGCAUUAUGGCAUUGUGUCAAGUGCCUCAUUAGAGGAUUUGGGCCACAUGCCAUAAUAAACAAUGAGUACUAUUUGCCAACCCAGUGAAGUUUCCCUUGACAUAAAAGGACAUGAUACAAACAUGAAAAGGGGAUAUAGGCACCAAUAAAGAACAAGGCGUCAAAAAAGGAUAUAUUCAUUAAUAAAUAGAAAAUGGCAGUUCCAGAGAUGUCUUAAUAGAAGAGAUGAAGAUUUGAACACAGGAAGUAAAGCCAACUAAAAACUUCUAAUUAGAAUCGGAAUAAAAACAUCAUUAUUAUGCACUUUGGGAUCUGGCAAUGUAUAUGGCUUCUUCUCCACCUCUGCCUCGCAAGGGGAACCUGCAUCACUACCCCCCUAUAGAGUGUCUGGAGGAAAUUCUCCUUGUCCUCUCCAUGGUAGGCAUCCUUGUCUUGGAUGGUGGAGAUGGUGAUAGCUUCUAAAAUAUAUAGAGACGAUGAAGCUCAUAAAAUAACCACAAGAGAUGACUCACAAUUGAUUUCACUAAAAGAUACUCAAAUAGACCCUUGUCUCCUAGGAGACUAGACUAGUCAACACUAUUGAGAGACAUAUAGAGAGAGAGCGAGUAUCAAAAAAGAUAGAAGAGAGAGAGAACGAGAUGAGGGUCUUGACAAGGGCAUUCUCUCUCUCUCUCUCUCUCUAUCUAUCUCUCUCUCUCUCUCUCUCUCUCUCUCUCUCUCUCUCUCUCUCCUCUCUAUGAUCUUCAAGUACCUCACAUGAACAAUAGUUAAAUAAUUAAGCAAUUUAGGAAAUACUAAUAGCAUUAUCUGAAUAGAAGAAGAAAGUGUGUUACAUGAUCAAGUACGGGAUUUCAAGGGUUUGACUUGGCUCUCAACAUGUACUCCUAAUGAAGCUCAAGCAAAUGUCAUCAUAAAGAUUAUGGGCAAAAAGAGAUUUUGCAUGAAAAUUCCUUCAUGGAUAUUUGCUCUUAUUGUGAAUUAGAAUUGUUAUGUAGAACAAGUCCUCCAUAUCAGGAUUUCUUUUUAUUUUUCUUUUUCUAUUCUAUUUUUAGAUGUAUUUCUCUUUUUCGUGUUUCUAUUAUUAACCUUUUUGUAAAUACUAGAAAGGUUGUUAGAUGUCAAUAUAAAUACUGGCGUACUACUAUGAGAAGGGUUAGGUUAGUUUUUCUUUUUCUUGCUUCUAUUAUAUCUUGCAACAUGGUAUCAUAGCUUUCUCUCUGAUCUUGUAAGAAGACUGCCGACGGAAGAUCAACCAACCUAUGUGAAGGUAAUAUCACCAGGUGAUUUUCUUUCUGUCUGUAGUACAUGAAAUGUGAGGUUUCUUGGUCGUAAGCAGACUGGCGGAUUCCUUGGAGAGUCAUAUGCCAUCAUCAUUUCUUGAAGGUGGCAAGACAACUACGAAUACAACAUUGUCAUUUUCUGACAGUGGCAGACGUCUACAAGUACACCAUUGUCAUUUCUUGAUGGUGGCAGUCAUUCUUAGUUUCUUGAAAAUAAAUUGUUAUUCAUACCACAUCAGGAAAUCUCUAUCUGACUUUUUUUUCCUUUGGCUAUUAAAGAACAUGGAGUCAAAGGCCAAUGAAUCUUCCUCCUUUGGCCUAAGACAAUCAUUUGAAAUAAUUAAGGUAUGUUCAGACCUACCUAAAAUUGUUGAGAGAUUCCAAUUUGAUGGAAUCAAUUUGUUGCAAUGGACAUCGUAUGUGGUACUUAUUCUACGUGGGAGAAAUCUGGAUCAUCACUUGACGCAAUCCUUGCCAAGUAUUGACAACCCAGGAUAUUCUUAGUGGAAAGAAGAAGAAACACUUAUUGAAUAUUGGAUGCUGGACAAUAUUUCAUCAAAGAUAAGUGAUAGAUUUCUUUUUUUGAAAUCUAUGAAGGAAUUAUGGGACAAACUUCGUCGUGUUCACUCUACUAAACAUGACGAAUCCCAAAUUUAUAGAUUGGUACAGAAAUCUCUAACUUUGGUAUAGGGAACAUUGAUUGUUCUAGAAUAUGCUUGCGAAUUAAAAUCCAUAUGGAGAGAAAUUGACCACUAUAGACCAAUCAAGAACCCUAAUGCUGAAGAAAGAAAUUACAUCAUGAAAGACAUGUUGUAUAAGUUUUUGAUAGAACUAAAUCUAGAGUAUGAGACUCUAGUAAAUCAAAUCUUUGCUUGAGAAGUAAUACAAGAUAUUGAAGAAGCAAUUGAAUUUGCCAAAUAAGAAGCAAAUACUAGAAGAUUGAGAAAUGAUUUAAAGUCAAAAAAUGUUGCGUUCAGUGCUCUCAAGAGUAAAGAUAACUCUAGAUUUAAAAAGGGGAAUGGUAAAGUACCAUUCAUCAAAGGAGAUGUCAAGACUAUUCCAAAGGCACACCUAUUCUACACGUAUUGUCAGAAAAAUCAUCAUACUAGGGAAACAUGUUGAAAAAUCCAUGGCAAACCACCAAGUUAUGGUAAGUUGUAUUUGGCUAAUGCUCAAAAUGAAGAUGGUGUUAUCCCAAUGAUUCAAGGAGGAAUUAGUCAAGAUGGAUUGAUUUCCUCUCAGCAUUUAGAGAUUGGAAAACUUAGAGAAGAAAUUGAACAACUGAGGAGCAUGAUCAGCUCCACUUCCCUCGCACAUGCUAGUAAGCAUUUUCCUAAACAUUUUCCAUUAUGCUUAAAUACAUCAUUAUUAGCAUCACCUUCACUCUUGAAAGUAUCUUGGAUUAUUGAUUAUGGAGCUACUGAUCAUAUGACACCAUACACAUCACUAUUUAUAACAUAUAAGGUAUGUACCAAUAAUCUAAAGGUUAUUAUUGCAAGUGGAGAUUUAUUACCUGUAGUUGGCAUUGGAUCAAUUCAUCUUGAGAAAUUGGGGUUAUUAAGAUAUGUUCUUUAUGUACAAAGAUUGAAUACACAUCUAUUGUCAUUGAGAAAAUUAGGCAAAGACUUGAAUUGUCUAAUAUUAUUUGAUGAUGAUUUAUAUUUCUUCUAUGACAAGACCCCGAGCAAGAGGAUUGGGCAUGUUAAAGCACAGGAUGGACUCUACUACAUAGGGCAUAUGGACAAGACAUUGUUGACAAAUUCUAGUCCAAAGAUUUCAACUUUUGUGUCUGCUUCUCCCUUGAACAAAUUAUUGUUGUUGUAUUGUUGUUUAGGACAUCCGUCUAUAAAAGUACUUCGAUACUUGUUUCCAAGAUUAUGUUGUGCAAUUGGUGAAUCUACUUUCAUAUGUGAA
rnacentral:lncRNA from 1 species